GCUAAGGUUGCAUUUAUUGGAGUAAUAAUGGUAUAAAGAGGGUUACCUACGUCCAACUUUAUGCACGGCAAGCAACUUUUGAAUCCUUUUGAAGAAUGAUAAGAAGAUGAUCAUCAGAACAGCUUUGGUUUUUGUGAAGAGAAUCAAAUGGCAUAGGUGGAAAGCAGUCAACAAGAGGAAAAGCUCAAUUCUAUGUCAGGAAUUGGGUAUGAUUUUCUUUUUGUAUUUUUUGCUUUUGAUGGCUUCUAUGAUUAGGCUUUAAUACAAGUUUAUUUGGAUCAUUUUCACACACUAACUGGGGCACCAAAAGCAAUGAUUAGAAGCAUCUUACACUUUUGGACCAAAUGCUGAAUUUUUUUUGGGAGGAAUGGAUGUAUAAACUAUAAGUUUCCCAAGGAUCCUAGCUGAACAGGGAAAGAUCUUGAAAGAUUUUUAGAAAAGAACAGAGACAAGGCAUAAUUGAUUAACUUAUUUGACAAAUUAAUGAAGACAAGCCAGCCGUCUUCUCCAAAUACAUAUGUACACACACCAGAAAAAAAUAUAAUAUAAUAGAAUGUUCAUUGGGAUCAUAUUCUUUAAUCUAUUUUCUCUAGACCUUCACAUGGAGUCACAUGAUCCAAAUAUGUGGUAUCAGAAGUACCAAUCAUCCAAAUAAUUGCACUGCCAGAGUAAUUAUCCCAGUUUGCAUACAUAACUUUACCCAAUAUUCUCAAUAAUAAUAAAAAAAAGUAUUAUGAGAAAAUAAUCUACUUCCACAUAAUAUAACCCACUAUGUGACAUUUGAGAAGAAAGGUUGAUUGUGUAAAGAGUAACUGAACUAUGAAGAGAAUGAUUAGAUUCAUUCGAGUAUGUAAUCAAAUUGCUAUGCAAAACAGAAUGGCAUAACUCCACUAUCAUUGAAUUCCUCAAGUUUGUCGCCCAACAAGGAAAAGGGGAUUCCUCUAACAACAGUGAUUUCUCAAACUGGUCAUGAAAUAUAUUAUAGCCUGCCUGCCAUAACCCAUAACAGUGAUAUUAACCCGAGUACUUUUUCAAAGAGUUGCACAAGCAAUUCUUCAUUCAAUAUGAGUACUACAGGCAAAGAAGAUAAAAUUAACCAAAAUGCGAAGACAAUCAUGAUUGCAUUAGCCUCCUUGUCUCAUCACUUAAAAUCAAGGAUUAAAAAAGAAAAACUAUGAAUAAACACACCUUCAGGACCCCACCCACCAUCAUGUUGUAAUGUAUUGCCCCCCUCUCACCUACACUACCGAAGUAUAACCCACCCCUUACUUUUCUACAUAGACAACAAAGGGCAAAAAAAAAAAAAAAAAAAGAGAAAGAAAA